GACGAACGCUGGCGGCGUGCUUAACACAUGCAAGUCGAACGGAAAGGCCCUGCUAUUGUGGGGUGCUCGAGUGGCGAACGGGUGAGUAACACGUGAGUAACCUGCCCUUGACUUUGGGAUAACUUCAGGAAACUGGGGCUAAUACCGGAUAGGAGCUCCUGCUGCAUGGUGGGGGUUGGAAUGUUUCGGCGGUUGGGGAUGGACUCGCGGCUUAUCAGCUUGUUGGUGGGGUAGUGGCUUACCAAGGCUUUGACGGGUAGCCGGCCUGAGAGGGUGACCGGCCACAUUGGGACUGAGAUACGGCCCAGACUCCUACGGGAGGCAGCAGUGGGGAAUAUUGCACAAUGGGCGGAAGCCUGAUGCAGCAACGCCGCGUGCGGGAUGACGGCCUUCGGGUUGUAAACCGCUUUCGCCUGUGACGAAGCGUGAGUGACGGUAAUGGGUAAAGAAGCACCGGCUAACUACGUG
rnacentral:rRNA from 1 species